rnacentral:SRP_RNA from 1 species
GGCUGUAAUGGUUCAAUGGUGAAGACUCUCGUACUUUUCUUGCGUCUUCCGCACCAAACCCCGUCAGAUCCCCUCUGGCUGGCGCCCAGUUCGAACGCUGCGGUGAUCGCCCGCUCGCAUGGGUAACCUGCGACGUCGGUAAACAAUGUUCGCAUUGCGGUCCUAAGCACUGAAGAUUAUUCUUGAGGGAGGUUUCACUCUGCAGAGGCAUCUUCCCCGUCGCGUGGCGAAUUGGAUUACGACCCUAGAGGGAACUUUGGGCUGGUUGCGCGAGAAGGAGAAGCUCAACUUCACUUUU